GGGAAGGUGGCUCAGUGGUAGAGUGCUUGCCUUGCAUGCAUGAGGUCCAGGGUUUGAUUCCUCAGUACCA
rnacentral:tRNA from 1 species